CAAUGGCCGAGAACCAACCCUUAAAGCCCCUGUUGAUGCAAAUGGAAAAGUGAUUGUUAGGUGCACAAGAGGAAUGUUUCUUGAUUAUGAGGUCAGUCACAAAGCUGUUGCUAUCAUGCGCCAAUUUUUCAAUGGUCCGUGGUUGUCAUGGAGGGAGGUCCCUACACAUGCUAAAGUUGGAAUGUGGAACAAAUUUGAGGUGAUGUAAUUAAUUUAUAUUUCUUAUCAUUAACUUUUGCCCUU